UUCUUUCUUCCUUCCCUUUCUGUUAUUUAAUAGAUGUUCACUGAAUUUAUUAGCUAACUCUUGAUACCUUACACUUGAAAUUAGUUUUGAAGAAUUAUUGUGUCUUCAAAUCUUUAUUUUAUUGUUUUAUUUUUUCUGUCCUUUUGGUUUUUAGGUGGAAAUAUGCUACAUACUGUAAUGCUGUCUCAUGGCUCUCAGAUGAUUUAUUCAAGUAUUUGGUUUAUAUUUCAAAUUAUUCAAAUUUCAAUAUUAAAUAACUUCAAAUUGACUGCCUGAUUCUUGCUUUGGCGGAGUUCAGUCUACUAAUGAACCUGUCAAGUACAUUCUUCAUUAUGCAUUACUGUUUUUGGUCCUGUCAUAUCCAUUAGAAUUUUGUAACUAUUCUAACUCUUCUGUUGCUGUUUCUCUUGCUUUCAUGUUUAUGUCUUUCCCAUUAGUGUCUCCAACAUGUUUUUUCGCAUAUUUUUGUGGUUAUCUUUCUUGGGAGUGUGUUAUUUUUACUCUGUCCUUAUUAAUGCCUUUCAGUUUUUUGUUGAAAUGGCAACAUCAUAGAUGGAAUGGCAGAGACUGAUAUAAAUCAGCUUAUGUUUUUAAAAUUGACACAUUUUCCCCUGUUACAUCAUUAUUUGGCAUUUCAGUUAAUAUUAAUAGCUAAUUUGGUUUUGAAGUUUGAUGUUACUCAGUUGACAUUUAUUUCAUAGUGAUCAUGAAAUUAUUCUAAAAUUACUCCAUGUUGAGGAUAGAGAUAGCUUGAAAGAAUAUUUCUAUUUUUUCCCUACACUCAUUCUUUUCUUUGGUUUACGUUGCUUUUCCAAUUUUACUUGUUACUAGAAGCUUACUACUCUAUGCUGAUGAAUGCAGGAAAGCACUGCUGCUCUUCAUAACUGGAUGGAGACUUAGCUUUAUAGGAGAAUGUUUCUCUGCUUAUACAGUAUCUAAUUUUCAGUAUUCUUUGUGAUUUUAAGCUACAUAUUUAUGCCAAAAAAAAUGUUUCUACCUCUUCUUAUGUAUAGAAGAUUUUUGUUUCCCACCUCAAAAUAUAAUGAAUUUUCUUCAGUUUCAUGCAACUAAUUAAUUUUAUUCUUUUUUUUUGAAAAGUGUUAAGGAAAGAAUAUCACUGAUUAUAUAUUUCAUUGUCUCUUUAGGCACUAUUCGGGUUUUUAUGUCUUUUUGGUUCAGUUUUGGUACUUUAUAUGCAUCUAGGCAUCUGACCAUUUCUUCAAGACUUUCCAAGUUUCUGGAGUCACAGUUUUCACUCUAGUUGCUAGUCAGCUGGAUUUUGCUAGUAUCUGGUGUUAUUUUGACUUUUUAAUUUUUAAUUGCAUUAAUAUGAGUUUUUCAUUUUUUGCUUUAAGGUUGACUAAAAUUAGGUCUGUUUUUUUUGAAGAAUCAGCCCCUUAAUUCAUUAAUUCUUUUAUUGUUUUCUUAAAAUCGAGUUUCACACUGAUCCUUGUGAGUGCAUUCAUGCAGUAAUUUGAGUUUGGAUUGGUUUUUCUUUGACAGAAUUGUGAAUAUAUAGUUUUGGUUUUUUUUAACUUUCUCUGGUUUUCUAAUCUAGGUGUUUACAACAAUAAACUUCACUUUUAACUCUGUUUUCACUGUGUCUCCUAGAUUCUCCAAUGUUUGAUUUAUUCCUUUAUUUCUUCUGUAAUUGACUGUUCGGGAGUAUAUUAUUUAAUAUCCUUGUAUUUGUGUGGUUUUUGAGGCUUCUUUUAUAAUUGAUUUAUAGUUUCAUUGUGCUGUGAUCUAAUUGUGUGUGUAGCAUGAUUUUAUUCUUUUGCACUUAUUUUGUAGGUUUAAUGGACUAGAAUGUCAUCUGUUUUUGAAAAAGUUCCCUAGACUGCGGAGAAGAAUGUCUGCUUUGUUGUUCAGUAGAACUCUUUGAAGUGCAAGAAUGAAUGCUCAACAAGAAUGUGUGGCUGUCUUUUACAAAGCUGAAGUCUACUCAGAAUUCACUGAUUAUUUUUAUGAGGGAAAAGUGAUUCUCUGUAAUCUGCAUGAACUAAUCUUCAUUAAUGCAUUUGAUAUUCCCCAAACAGGAAUUAAAUCACAAGGAACAUUUAAUCUAAACAGCACUGUAAGUAUAAGUUAUGUAUGUCUGUUGGGUCAGUUGCUUAUUUUAAACUGACUCACUUCAAAUGGACUUUUUGGUUUUUUUUAUUUGUUUUUUUUUUUUCACUUUGUGUUAGAGGCUUAUAUACAGCUGUGGAAAUAGAAUUUCAACUAUUUUCUGAAGUCCAAAUUUUUGCAAUACUAUUGUGAGUUACUAUUAUAAUUUAAAAGCAUAAAUCAGAUCACAAGAAUAUUUCUUGCUGUUAACAUAUAUUUAAAUUUGUGUUCUAUUAUCUCAGCUUAGAUAACUGAUAUUCUUUCAUCUAUAAAAUAUAUAGGUUCCCUAUCACUUUUUCUAAGUUACUACAGAUAUUAAAUAAUUUCAGAAAAUAGCAUUCUAUCUUCUAUAAUAUAUAUAGUUUGCCUAUCACUUUCUCUGUUUAGUAGAAGGAUUAAAUGAGAUAUUAUUUUUGAUGUUUAUUAAUUUCAGUAUCAUCUUCAAGAAAUACACUACUUAGAAUUUAUUGUAGUACCUGAGGUGCAGGUGUUUAAUAAAAAUUAUUAAUAUAAACUUGCUUUGGCCAUAAGAUCCUUUUUUUUUUGUACCAGGGAUCAAACUCAUGACAUCUGGCUUGCCAAGCACACGCUUAUGCUGCUAAGCUAAAUCUCCAGCCCAAGAUCCUGUAUUAAUAGAAUUCAAAUAUAUGGUAUAUUUCAUCAGCUAUUUACUAUUGUUGGCUCAUCUUUCUAAACUAAAUAACAAAUCUGAGUGAAAUUUGAUCUUCAAAUGUUACAUAUACUGUAUGUAGGCAUAUAUUGCUUCUAAAGUAGCAAGCUAUUAAAAUUUCAGAAAUACAAAUUGCUGAGAAAUAAUUUUAUAUUCCACGUUUAAUCAAGCAGACAUAAAUACAUCAAAUUGUACCUAUUUAUGUAAUUUUAAUGUAAUUUGCUUAUUUGUAAUUUGUAAUUUUUCACAUACAUUCAAGCACAAUUUGAGAUAUAUCUACAUACCCUAUAAAUUGCAACUUAUAUUAACAUAAGUAAUUUAUGCUAUUUUAAGUAAACAGUUCAUAAAAUCUUCAUUGUAUUCAGAUUGUUCUAGGAAUAAUUUUUUCAGGGCAACCUAGAUAAUUUUAUGUGUAUUACCAUGUAACUGGAACCUAAUAGAUUUUUAAUUAAUAGAUAUGCAAAAAAUAAAGAAAAUAAAAUGAAAAUUAGUGAACGAAUAAAUUCAUGAAAAUGUUCACAUAUUUUGCAGAAGAACUUAUAUUUUAGUUCAUAUGUUGAAUAUGAAGUGUCUAUCUUUAUAUUAAAUACUGCAGAUAUUUACUGCAUACUUGAUAAAUGUAGACUGUCAAAUCAAGUGUGGAAAAAAGAAAAUACAAUGCUAAUCUUUUUAUUCUUUGUUUCCUUAAAAAGGCAUAUAUUUUUUUCUUUUAAGAAAUGCAAACUCAGAUAUAAAACUAAUAAUAGAAACAUUUUAGAAAUGAGAAUCAACUUUUAAAACUGAAAAUGAUUUAAAAUGGAUGCAUGAUGCAUAUGCACUACAAAUUUGAAGGUCAUGCAUGAAUAUUUUUAUGAGAUAUUACUAUUAUAUAAUCUGCACAUUCACCAUACAAAAUAAGAUAUAAAUUGUUUCCUUCAUGGGCUGGGAAUUUAGCUCAGCGGCAUAAGCACCUGCCUUGCUAGCAGGCAGUCGUGAGUUCGAUCCCCGGUACCGAUAAAAAUGAAAAAGACAAAAAAAAAAAUUAUUUCCUUCAUGUCAGAUAGCUAUUUCUCCUCCUUCAAAUCCUAACAGAAAACCAUGCUUAUUUCUGCUAGCCGAGGUCACUUUUUCUAGCUCUUGGACUUGAAGAAAGUAGAAAAAUAAGGUGAGGAUUCUUUAAUGUCCAGCUCAUUUUACAAAACAUAAUUUUUUGUGUGUUGCUAAAAUAAUGGUUAAUGCCAUAAAACCGCCUGUGCUUUUUUGAGAUCUGCAAUGUAGACUACAUGAACCAGAAUGUACCCUUCUCUUUCAACACUUGGGAGAUCCCUUUCUCUCGCUCAGACUGUGUUUUAAGUCCCUCAUAUUCAAUGCAAAAAUUCCUCAAAAUUCUAAAAAAAUAAAUGGAUAAACAAUCUUGCUUUUGAUGAGAUUAUAUUUAUAUAAACAAGAAUUGUAUUAAGAGUUUGUGAAACUAUGCAUGUUUUAGAAAGAUCUAUUGUUGAUAACAUACUUUAACCAAAACUUAACUAAAAAGUUAAUGUCCCAAUUAUUGCCUAUGUAAAGGCAAAUGCAAACUUAAAAUAAGAAAAUAUGAAGCUUAAUUUUUCUGAUCAAAAUUAGAGUAAAAAGAUACAAAUAUUUUUAGUCAUCUAUCACACAUUUUCAGUAUCUAUCUAUCUAUCUAUCUAUCUAUAUGCAUAUAUGUGUGUGUGUGUGUGUGUGUGUGUAUUUCUGACUUACCUACUGUUCUAAUGUUCUAUAUUUACCCUGAGCUUUGUUUUCUAUUUUGUGCAUUUUGACUACUGUAUUUUUAAACUCUAAAACUUUUGACUCUUACAAAUUUGUUCUUUUUUCAAAGGUUGCUUUUGCCACUUUAGGUUUUUAGUGAUUUUAUAUCAAUUUUAAUAUAUUUUUCUAUUUAUGUAAAGAAUGCACCUAGUACUUCCAUUAAAUCUGAAGGUUAUUUUCCAUACUCUGGACUUAUUCACAAUUACAAAUCUUCAAACCUGUGAAUAUUAGGAGUACUUUAUUUUUUGCCUUUAAUUUCCUUCACUAUUGUUUUAUAAUUUUAGUGAUUCUUUUAUUUUUUUAAUUCAUUCCUACGCAUUUUAUUCUUUUUGUUGCCAAAUAUGAUGUUUUCUCAAUCACUUCUUUUAAACUUUCUGUCAUUCUGAGUAUUGAAGCCAGAGCUCUCCACUGAACUCCAUCCCCAGGUCUUUUAAAAUACCUUUUCUUGAGAAGAAAGUUGCUAAGCACUAAGUGAGCCUCGUGGGGCUCCAAGUUGCACAUCUCCUGUCCAGUCUCGCAGAGUGCUGGGAGUAAGGUUGUGUGGCCGUGCCUGGCCUCUUACCUCUUUUUUUAUUGGUUAAUUAUUUCCGUGUAGAAUGACUACUGAUUAUUAUUAUUAUUUUUGGUUCUCCGUUUGGUGAUGCUGGGUAUUGAAUUCACAAUUCUUGGGCAUUGCCAUGCUAGGAACAUAAUACAUAAUCUAGGUACUCUUCAGUCUCUAGUUAUUUCAUGAUUUUGUAUUCUGGAGUUUUCAGGAAUUUAUCAAAAAUAACUUUUUUAUUGGGUCUUUGGUGUUCACUGCUUAUAUAACCAUUUUAUCUGUAACAACAACUCAUCAUCUUUGAUUUUAAUAUAGGUUACUUUUUGUCACCUUUUACUGUCUAACUGUCCUGGCAGCCAGGCAUGGUGAUAAAUAUCUGGAAUCCCAGCAUGCGAGGGGCUGAAGCAGAAGGAUCACCAUGAGUUCAAGACCAGCCUGCACUAAAUAGCAAGACCCUGUUUCAAACAAUCUUUGCCCUCAAGAAAAUAAUUGUCUUGGUAAAGAUUUUCAGGGAAGUGGUCUUUCUUUCCUUAUAUAAGAUCUUUAAGAAAAGUUCUUAGAUUUUCCCUGUUCAUCAUAUUGACUGUAAGCCUUUAAUACAUAAUCUUUAUUCUGAUCAUGCAAACUACUUCAAUAACUAUUGUCUUUAGAGAUUUAAUUAUUAAUGAAUGUUCAAUUUUGUCAAAUACCUUACUGCAUCAACUGAAAUCAUUACAUAAUUUCUUUGUUUGGAGGAAUUUUGUGAUGUAUCAUUGUGUUCCCAUACUGUCACUGUGACAAAAUUCUUAAGAAAACCAACAACAAAAGGAAUACUUAUUUGGAAUCAAUAUUUCAGUUUACAGUCCAAUUGCUAUGAUCAUUUGCUUUGAUAUUGUAGAAAUAAGAGGUUUGAUACUGUAGAAAUAAGCAAGCAAAGAGACUGGAAAAAAUUUGAGUCUCAGUAUUUUUUUGUGGGUGUAUCUCUGGGAGUUCAAGGGCAGCCUGAACUGCAUAGCAAGAUCUUGUCUCAAGAAAAAAAAAAAAGAUACAAAUAUAUUGUCAUGCAUACUUUUCUAUGAAUAUAAAAUGUUAAUUAGUUGUUAGCACUAGUUUUCUAAUGUAGUUGAUGGUGUAGCAAGAAAAUAAUUUAGGCAUAAACAAUACAAAGCCUCUUUAAAAUUCAUACAUUUAGCUAUUCAAGGUUAAGAGACUUUAACAUUGUAUAAUUCUUUUUCAUACAUUUUGUACCUGAUGUGUGUUGUAUUAUUUAACAUUUUGUAAACUUAAUUAUUUAAAGAAAAUGUUUCAUUUUUAUUUUUCUGAUAGUAGGAGUAAUCUAAAUAUUUUUGUCUUGUAGAGCAUUUUGAUAACACAUAUAUGUACAUAUUCAUGAAUCUUAGAAAAAUAAGAACCAGUAUAUUCACAGGAAAGGCCUUAUUCUUUAUACUAAGUUUGGGUUAGGAUAUUUAAUAUGCUCAAAUUUAUAAAAUCUUUUUCUAAAUUUUAUAAAUUACUUUCAUAAACAAGCAAACCCGAAAGUUUGAUCACACCAUGUGAUCACGUGUGAGUGGAGUUUAUAUUUGAUUGAACAGUGGAUAUUCUUUUUCUUCUCACCAGGUUAAUGCACUGAAGAUACUUACAAUUACCUGACAGAACUCUGUAGUGUUCAUUUCCCUGUCACUGAUAAACUGCUGAUGAUCAUUCAUUUUAGACCCAUUGGCAAAUGGCAGCCCAAUACUCAGAUAACUUUACUGUCUUUCAUCUGACACUUUUUAUAAUGUUUAUUGUUUUGACUAUUAAAAGGAUUCUUCAAACAGAGCGUCAUUUUAUUAUUUCUGAUUUUUUUAAUCUGAGCACUGAGUGCUUGGUGUCAUCAAAAGCUUAUAGGAAUUCCUGUUUCAGAAUUCCCCUCACAACGAUCUCACUCAUCAGCUUCCAGCUAGGCAGGUAGAAUUGAGCAACAUCUUACAGUAUCUCUAGCAUAUAUAUAUAUAUAUAUAUAUAUAUAUAUAUAUAUAUAUAUAUAUAUAUCUUUCUCUUGAAAUUCAACAACCUCAGGAGUAAAGCAUACAAGUAUGUAUUUCACUUUUUAAAUGGUUAAACCAUCUCCAAAUUUUCCCUGCUUUUUGGUUUCUACAGUGACAUUAAAAAUUUUUGUGUGGGCAUGUGGAGAUAUAUGUCUCUGUGUGAACAUACAAUUUUGGCAUUUAUAAUUCUCCCGUAGUGUUAGUUCAUUGUAAGAUAUGUCAUUAUUGCCUGAAUUGCAUAUCCUAGGAUUAGUCUUUAAUCCUCUAUAUAAAAUAUCAUGCUCCUUUAGGCUGGAAGUAACACAGUAUAAGAAUAUUUUAUACAGCUAUUUGUUGAUAACUUAAGGUUAUAUUACAGGGUUUCCACAGUUUAUAAGUAUCUAAAUAAUUGAAAUGUUAUGUUAUUUUUCUUAAAGAACAAGUGAACAAAUGAAAUUUAUUGAAUUUCAGUCGCUGUAAAAAUUAUCUGUUUUGUGCAAUAAAUCACUUAACAUGUAGUUAUUAAAGAAGUGAAUUCUCUAGCAAAAUGUGAAAAUUAGCAAUGAAUGGAGCAGAAAGUGAAAUGAAUAGGACAAACGGACAACAAUGACAGAAAAAGAGCUCAACAGAAAUGAGGCAGAGAAGGAACAGCAAUUUUGGAGAAAUCAAGACAUCACAAUAGGUAGUGCUGAUUUAAUAUCCUCUUGUUUUGAAGUCCCAUCAAGCUUUUGUUCUUCUGUCUCCAUCGGUUUUAACGUGUUGUAUCUUAUUGGAUUUUAUUAUAUGUGAUAAUAUAAACAAAAACUUUUAUAGACAAGGAGAUUAUACAGAAACCAUUGUUCAUUUUCUGUUAGUUGAUUCUGAAUACCCUGUAAUACUGUCAUUCUCUUGAACAGUUUUAUAUUGUCUUGAUAUGUUUGAUGCUACAAUAUAUGAAGUUAUACCCAAAGAUUUUAAGGGAAGAGACACUAUGGUAGCUACUAUUAUGUCGAGAUUAUCUUGUGGUGAAACACUAUUUUGCUUAAAUGGCUAUGUUUUGACCUGUGAUGUUUUGUUGCUAUGCCCUCUUUUUUAUCUCAAUCUCUUUUUUAUUAUCUACUUUUUCAUUUUUAUCCUUUUAAUUAAGGGAAAAAUAAAAAUAUAGCAGGAUAUAUUAUAGUAACCCACUUUGAUUUCCUAUUAACUUGAUUUGAAACUCUGUAUUGCUCUCACCAUCUUGUUUUGACUGAUUUUCCUCUAUUCUGUUAUGCUUGACCAAGUUUGAAAGUAUAGGCAACAACUAUGAAGAUAAUAAGAUUCAUUGUGAUGCCCAUUCUGGUUGAUGAUUAUCUUCUUUUGAAGUCCUCUAAUGUCUCCAAUGUUUUGGUUUUAUUGGUCUUAUUCUUUACUGUUUUGUUCAGUUUUAUUAUGACUGAUGAUAUAGGCAAUUCUUUUUAAGAUAACAAAAGGCAUUAUGGUAACCAUUGUUGAUACCUUGUAUGUUGUUUUUACAUUAUGUAUUAUGCCCAUCCUUUUGAUUUGACAGACUCUGUCCUGGUAUGUCACGUUUGGUUUUACUUUCUUCAAAAAAAAUUAAUAAGAACUAUGGGAGUAAUAAAACCCAAAAUGUGUAAUUGUCAUUGUACAAAGAAAGGAAAAGAAAAUUCUCUAAAAGACAUAACUGCAUAGAUAUUUAAGUGUAUAAGAUAGAUAACCAUAUUACUGAGUGUUGUUGGAUCAUUGAACAAAACUGUUUGCAGUCUCACUGUUUGAAAGUUCCCUCUAUAUGCUUUAAUUUUGUAACUUCAACAACUAUUUCUAAGAUGACAAUAUGUAAUUAAUUAGUGAUUUUCUACUGUUUAUUUUUUCUGAAAUUCUGUAUAACUUGUAACUCUUUUCUGUUUUUUGUCUUUUUUCUCCUUAAAUAAAAUUUUAAAAAAUAAAAUUAAUUCUUCUAAUAAAUAAA